GAGUGCUGGCUCAGGUGUGUCCAGAAGUAAACAAACAUCAGAGUGCAAGUUCAGUAAUUGUUUAGGCACACCUGAACUACAGCGCAGGUUGAGUAGUGGCCUGACUUACCUAUAAAGCAACAAGCUAAUUAUUGUGAUUUUUAUUGUUUAGAGUGAAAAUUCAGCAGGCAACGAACUCUUGUUCUGGAAGGCAAUUUCAGUAGUGCAGGGAUGCAGAAUCCAGAGUGUAAUAUACCAAAA
rnacentral:sRNA from 1 species